rfam:Schistosoma rodhaini strain Burundi genome assembly, scaffold: SROB_scaffold0000486
AUCCAGCUGACGAGUUCCGAACAGGACGAAACGCGCUUCCUGAAU